rnacentral:rRNA from 1 species
UUAAAACCUUUGAGAUUUCAAUUUUUUUGCUUUUUUGGUGUACCUUCUCGCAGGUAGGUUAGCAUCGAUUUUGAUCAUCAUAAAAGGAUUGGAGGAAUGUAGCUUCGAUCUUGUAUUGAAGUGUUAUAGCCUUUGGUAAAUGUGAUGAUUAGGAUCGAGGAUUGCAACGAAUACCCUUUUGGGCUAUCCGCCUGAUCUCUGAUACGUGGCCUUGGUAUUGAAAGCGUGCUUAUGAUAUUAAGGUAUUACGGUCAAAAGGUUAGAACGGAUUACAUUCGUUAAAGAUGUUGAUGUA